AAGAUGAUACAUUCUAUGAUCAUUUCUAUAGUUAUUUACUUCAGAAAUGUGUUUCUAAAGAGUUAGGUUUUGCUAUCCAUGAUGAACAUUGAGGAUAUUCCUUCCAAUACAUGGA
ensembl:snoRNA U3 Small nucleolar RNA U3